GACGAACGCUGGCGGCGUGCUUAACACAUGCAAGUCGAACGGACAGGCCCUGCUUUUGUGGGUUGCUCGAGUGGCGCACGGGUGAGUAACACGUGAGUAACAUGCCCUUGACUUUGGGAUAACUUCAGGAAACUGGGGCUAAUACCGGAUAGGAGCUCCUGCUGCAUGGUGGGGGUUGGAAAGUUUCGGCGGUUGGGGCUGGACUCGCGGCUUAUCAGCUUGUUGGUGGGGUAGUGGCUUACCAAGGCUUUGACGGGUAGCCGGCCUGAGAGGGUGACCGGCCACAUUGGGACUGAGAUACGGCCCAGACUCCUACGGGAGGCAGCAGUGGGGAAUAUUGCACAAUGGGCGGAAGCCUGAUGCAGCAACGCCGCGUGCGGGAUGACGGCCUUCGGGUUGUAAACCGCUUUCGCCUGUGACGAAGCGUGAGUGACGGUAAUGGGUAAAGAAGCACCGGCUAACUACGUG
rnacentral:rRNA from 1 species